GACGAACGCUGGCGGCGUGCUUAACACAUGCAAGUCGAACGGAAAGGCCCUGCUUUUGUGGGGUGCUCGAGUGGCGAACGGGUGAGUAACACGUGAGUAACCUGCCCUUGACUUUGGGAUAACUUCAGGAAACUGGGGCUAAUACCGGAUAGGAGCUCCUGCUGCAUGGUGGGGGUUGGAAAGUUUCGGCGGUUGGGGAUGGACUCGCGGUUUAUCAGCUUGUUGGUGGGGUAGUGGCUUACCAAGGCUUUGACGGGUAGCCGGCCUGAGAGGGUGACCGGCCACAAUGGGACUGAGAUACGACCCGGACUCCUACGGGGGGCAGCAGUGGGGAAUAUUGCACAAUGGGCGGAAGCCUGAUGCAGCAACGCCGCGUGCGGGAUGACGGCCUUCGGGUUGUAAACCGCUUUCGCCUGUGACGAAGCGUGAGUGACGGUAAUGGGUAAAGAAGCACCGGCUAACUACGUG
rnacentral:rRNA from 1 species